rnacentral:rRNA from 1 species
UGGGGAAUUUUGGACAAUGGGGGAAACCCUGAUCCAGCCAUUCCGCGUGAGUGAAGAAGGCCUUCGGGUUGUAAAGCUCUUUUGUCCGGAACGAAACGGGUAGCGUGAAUAUCGCUGCCUACUGACGGUACCGGAAGAAUAAGCACCGGCUAACUACGUGCCAGCAGCCGCGGUAAUACGUAGGGUGCGAGCGUUAAUCGGAAUUACUGGGCGUAAAGCGUGCGCAGGCGGUUUUGUAAGCCAGAUGUGAAAUCCCCGGGCUUAACCUGGGAAUGGCAUUUGGGACUGCAAGGCUGGAGUGUGGCAGAGGAGACUGGAAUUCCUGGUGUAGCAGUGAAAUGCGUAGAUAUCAGGAGGAAUACCGAUGGCGAAGGCAGGUCUCUGGGCUAACACUGACGCUCAUGCACGAAAGCGUGGGGAGCAAACA